rnacentral:rRNA from 1 species
GGGGGGGGGGGGGGGGGGGGUUGGCGGGUGGAGGGCGGGGGGGGCGGGGCGGCUGUUGGGGGGUGCUCGCGUGGGGACGGGGUGGGUCACACGUGGGUAGCCUGCCCUUUGCUUUGGGCUUCGUUCCGGCAACUUGGGCUACUCCCGGAUCGGAGCUCCUGCUGCAUGGUGUUGUUUGGCAAUUUUCGGCGGUUGGUGAUGGACUCGCGUCUUAUCCGAUUGUUGGUGUGGUAGUGGCUUACGAAGGCUUUGGCGGGUAGCCGGCCUGAUAUGGGGACAGGCCACAUUGGGACUGAGAGACGGCCCAGACUCCUACGGGAGGCAGCAGUGGGGAAUAUUGCACAAUGGGCGGAAGCAUGAUGCAGCAACGCCGCGUGCGGGAUGACGGCCUUCGGGUGGUAAACCGCUUUCGCCUGGGACGAAGCGUGAGUGACGGUAAUGGGUAAAGAAGCACCGGCUAACUACGUG